rnacentral:rRNA from 1 species
UAACUUUCAGCAAUGGAUCUCUUGGCUCUCGCAUCGAUGACGAACGCACCGAAUUGCGAUAAGUAAUGUGAAUUGCAUAUAUUCAGUGAAUCAUCGAAUCUUUGAACGCACCUUGCGCUCCUUGGUAUUCCAAGGAGCAUGUCUGUUUGAGUGUCAU